rnacentral:lncRNA from 1 species
AACAAGUGGUCCCCAGGCUCCUGUUGACUUCAAGGAGAACAAUGGUGGCCUUGCAGAGUCUGGCCUUUGGAGAUGGAGCUCACACGUGGAAGGAUCCUGGAUCAGAACCAGUUUAGUUUUUCUUCUGUUCUAAUGCCAGUAUUUUCUUAGUACCCACUUUACAGAUAAGGAAACAGGUGUGAAGAUGUUGGGUAACACGACCAGCCUGAGGUCUGGCGUCUUCAGAGCAGACAAUUCACUCAGGGGUGGUUUCUCCAGUGCGGCUGGGAAGAGAAGCGGCAGACAGAGAGAAAAAAAUUACUGGGAGUAGAAUACAGCGUGAACAGGAGAGGGACACUGGAGACAAGAGGACGGAAGGAACGGAGUCAGGAGAUCUCGGAAAUCAAGCUUCCAUAUUUUGGAACAUUACGGGAGAACAACUAAAGAGAGACUUCUGUAGAGUUAAAAACAUCUACACUG